GACGAACGCUGGCGGCGUGCUUAACACAUGCAAGUCGAACGGUAAGGCCCUUCGGGGUACACGAGUGGCGAACGGGUGAGUAACACGUGGGUGAUCUGCCCUGCACUUCGGGAUAAGCCUGGGAAACUGGGUCUAAUACCGGAUAGGACUCCGGACUGCAUGGUCUGGGGUGGAAAGCUUUUGCGGUGUGGGAUGGGCCCGCGGCCUAUCAGCUUGUUGGUGGGGUGAUGGCCUACCAAGGCGACGGCGGGUAGCCGGCCUGAGAGGGUGACCGGCCACACUGGGACUGAGAUACGGCCCAGUCUCCUACGGGAGGCAGCAGUGGGGAAUAUUGCACAAUGGGCGCAAGCCUGAUGCAGCGACGCCGCGUGAGGGAUGACGGCCUUCGGGUUGUAAACCUCUUUCAGCAUCGACGAAGCGAAAGUGACGGUGGGUGCAGAAGAAGGACCGGCCAACUACGUGCCAGCAGCCGCCGUAA
rnacentral:rRNA from 1 species